rnacentral:sRNA from 1 species
AUCCGGAUACUGUCCGGUGAAAAUCGUUGGGCGGCUGGGCACGCA